CUGCGCGUGAGGCCGAGACGCUGAAAGUCCGGAUUUAAAGUGCAGAAAAUUAAGCCAUUGAAUCUGCCUGUCCAUGACGUACAAAGACACACUAUGAGCCAGUAUGAUCCGACCAGACCUUACAUCAGCAUUGAGGAGUUGUCGGAGAAGAAAGAGGCUGAUUGAAGCGGGACCGAUGACAUGGAUCCAUCCUUCCACAGCCAGGAGUGCACCGACCUGUGUCCCACACUUCAUAUAAGACUGGAAGCUACACUGAUCUCACAGCUACACACCACAGACGUCUACACACUGGAGAAGAGUCCCACAAAGAAGUCAUGACCCAGAGGCUGCAGAGAAACA